GGGAAUCUUCCGCAAUGGACGAAAGUCUGACGGAGCAACGCCGCGUGAGCGAAGAAGGCCUUCGGGUCGUAAAGCUCUGUUGUUAGGGAAGAACAAGUAACGCAGUAACUGGCGUUACCUUGACGGUACCUAACGAGAAAGCCACGGCUAACUACGUGCCAGCAGCCGCGGUAAUACGUAGGUGGCAAGCGUUGUCCGGAAUUAUUGGGCGUAAAGCGCGCGCAGGCGGUUCCUUAAGUCUGAUGUGAAAGCCCACGGCUCAACCGUGGAGGGUCAUUGGAAACUGGGGAACUUGAGUGCAGAAGAGGAGAGCGGAAUUCCACGUGUAGCGGUGAAAUGCGUAGAGAUGUGGAGGAACACCAGUGGCGAAGGCGGCUCUCUGGUCUGUAACUGACGCUGAGGCGCGAAAGCGUGGGGAGCAAACAGG
rnacentral:rRNA from 1 species